rnacentral:rRNA from 1 species
AGUGAACGCUGGCGGUAGGCCUAACACAUGCAAGUCGAACGGCAGCACAGUAAGAGCUUGCUCUUACGGGUGGCGAGUGGCGGACGGGUGAGGAAUACAUCGGAAUCUACUUUUUCGUGGGGGAUAACGUAGGGAAACUUACGCUAAUACCGCAUACGACCUACGGGUGAAAGCAGGGGAUCUUCGGACCUUGCGCGAUUGAAUGAGCCGAUGUCGGAUUAGCUAGUUGGCGGGGUAAAGGCCCACCAAGGCGACGAUCCGUAGCUGGUCUGAGAGGAUGAUCAGCCACACUGGAACUGAGACACGGUCCAGACUCCUACGGGAGGCAGCAGUGGGGAAUAUUGGACAAUGGGCGCAAGCCUGAUCCAGCCAUACCGCGUGGGUGAAGAAGGCCUUCGGGUUGUAAAGCCCCUUUGUUGGGAAAGAAAAGCAGCAGGUUAAUACCCCGCCGUUCUGACGGUACCCAAAGAAUAAGCACCGGCUAACUUCGUG